CACGUCACCCCCUCCCAUCACUCUUCUCGUCAUCCUUUUCCGCCCUUAUGGAUUGGUGGUUGGUAUCAGCUGCUCCCCAUUUUCUACCAUUUACUGAACGAGUUGAGGAAAAAGGGAAGGAGUCUUGUCUUUACAUCGUCAUUUUCUUUUUUUAUUGGUUAGCACCUAUGCCACUCACGUGGUGGAGAGGCGAGGCAACAGUUGGAGAUGAUUGGUUCUGAGAAUUGGCUGUGAAAGCGGCAUUGCUGACCAAUGAGAGAUACUUAAUAAGAGAGGGGCAGGCCGGGGCAACCAACGAAAUCCGAGAAGAGCGCUUGGGGGCGUGUCCGCCUGUUUCAGCCUUUGGGAAGUUGGUGGGAGCUAAAAUCAGUCAUUUUUCUGUGAAGGCCUGAAGAAGAAAAGAGAGGCAGUAACUGAGAUGUCUGCUUGAAUGUCACCUGCUUAUCGAGGCCUUCCUGGCUACUCUCUCUACAGUACAAGUACAUCUCCCCCACUCGAAUCACUUUGUUCUUUUCUUAGCACUUAUCAUUCAAUAAUAUGCUGUAUGAGUCUCCUGCUCUGCUGCCCAUUACCUGUGUCACCUCCGCAAGCUACUGCUGAACCUCAAAGAACCCAUCUCCUCAUCGGGGAAAAAAAAAAAAAAAAAGCUUUAUAUAGCAGGGUCUGAACUCUGUAGGUCUUCACCACGGCUCAGGAGGAUAAGGAGCAGUGACAGGCCAAACUACGAGAGAAGACAGAGGGAAUCAAACUCAACACUGCAUCUAGACCUCCUCCACCACUGUUAAAGGGAUCCUGGCAUCAGAUGGGGAACGGCUCUAAAUCAAAAUGACCUCACCACUGUGCUUUUCUGUGAAACCAGGCAAAGAUCAGAUAAGCAUGAGCUAUGUCUCUCUCCAGGUUUUAUUCUGGGAUAGCAGUGGCCAGGCGCAGCCAACAGAAAUGGAAAGUCAUGGUGUCCAACACGCCUCUCUGUUCCCCAUGCUGAGGUUAACAGAUGGUUUUUCCUUGCCAUGGAUAAUGUAGAAUUUGACUUUUCUCUUAUUUAUGAGAACUGAAAUAGGCUAAAAAGGAAAAUCAAUGAAGACCAACUUUGAUACAGAAAUUAAAAUCAGGAAAAAAAAAGAAAAACCAUUAAAUACAGUAAGAUAUUUUGAAUUAAGAAACAAGGUAUAAACUGUAGGAAAAUAUACAAAUAAGGACAACUGAAAUAAACAUGGUAUAAAGGGAAACUUUUCAUUAAAAAGCACAUCUCUGGAAAUAUAAAGUCUUAGAAAGAAUGUUAAUAAAAAUCUAAAAAAUAAAGAGAAAGGGUAAAC